rnacentral:rRNA from 1 species
AACAAACGCUGGCAGCGUGCCUAAUACAUGCAAGUCGAACGGGGAAAGCUUUCGGGUGAGUACUAGUGGCGCACGGGUGAGGAACGCGUGGAUAAUCUGCCUUAGAGUGGGGGAUAACUAGUCGAAAGAUUAGCUAAUACCGCAUAAGACCACAGGAGCUGCGGCUCAAGGGGUCAAAGGUUUUUCGCUCUAAGAUGAGUCCGCGUAAGAUUAGCUAGUUGGUGAGGUAACGGCUCACCAAGGCGACGAUCUUUAACUGGUCUGAGAGGAUGAUCAGUAACACUGGAACUGAGACACGGUCCAGACUCCUACGGGAGGCAGCAGUAGGGAAUAUUGCACAAUGGAGGAAACUCUGAUGCAGCGACGCCGCGUGAGUGAUGAAGGCCUUCGGGUCGUAAAGCUCUGUCGCAGGGGAAUAACACAAUGAAUGUACCCUGUAAGAAAGGAUCGGCUAACUUCGUGCCAGCCGCCGCUGUAACAC